CAGUAGCCGCGGUAAUACGAAGGGUGCAAGCGUUAAUCGGAAUUACUGGGCGUAAAGCGCGCGUAUGUGGUUUGGUAAGAUGGAUGUGAAAUCCCCGGGCUCAACCUGGGAACUGCAUCCAUAACUGCCUGACUAGAGUACGGUAGAGGGUGGUGGAAUUUCCUGUGUAGCGGUUAAAUUCGUAGAUAUAGGAAGGAACACCAGUGGCGAAGGCGACCACCUGGACUGAUACUGACACUGAGGUGCGAAAGCGUGGGGAGCAAACAGGAUUAGAUACCCGCGUAGUCCCUGUCUCUUAUAA
rnacentral:rRNA from 1 species